rnacentral:misc_RNA from 1 species
UCUCCGCUGGUGAACCAGCGGAGGGAUCAUUACCGAGUUUACAACUCCCAAACCCCUGUGAACAUACCUUAAUGUUGCCUCGGCGGAUCAGCCCGCGCCCCGUAAAACGGGACGGCCCGCCAGAGGACCCAAACCCUAAUGUUUCUUAUUGUAACUUCUGAGUAAAACAAACAAAUAAAUCAAAACUUUCAACAACGGAUCUCUUGGUUCUG